rnacentral:lncRNA from 1 species
ACGUUCAACAUGGAUUAAAGACUAAAACACGAUACUAUUACUAAAAAUUAACUAAUUCGAAACAUAAUUAUUCAUGACAAAAACGUUUCUAGAUUGACUCAAAUUCUGGGCCUAUGGACUAGGCACAAACCAUCCGAGACUAAUCUUUCAUUGGGAUAAGAAUUCAGCCUCCCUAUUUCGUUAAACAACAUAACUAAAACCAUAAUGCAUCAAUACCAUGCCAUAUUUAUUACAGCAACCCAAACAUAAUUAAGAAAGAAAAUCUUUUUCCAGAAGUUCAUGAGCAUGUUAUAUGAGAGACUUUUAAUACAUGAACUACCAAUGUUAAAUAAAACUAACUCUAUUACAUUUUUUGGUAGCCUAACUAAUCCCUUUCCUCUUUUGGAUAUUAGUUGUCAGUCACAAAUUUGGCUUUCUCCAAUAAAGAGCACCAGAUUUAUCCACACAAUAAAUCUCAAAAUUUUAGCUUCUAAACCUGCUGAUUUGGCUAACUAAUGACCAAAUCUGCAUGAGAUAGCUUAUGACCAAAACAGAAACAAGAACCUUUAAGUAAAAAAACACUCAUUUAAGUAGAAGAAUGAGAAGGCAAUCAGACAACAUAGUUGUUUGUAAGAAUCAGAAGGCUACAAAGUACUCAAACAAGCUGCUCAUAUUAAACCAAAGCAGAAAUUAAAUGAGAAGAUAUGGGAAUCAAUAACUUUAACCAUAGCAUUCAAUCCUAGGAUCUAGGUAAUUUUAAAGAACAGUAUUCUAUACUACCGAAGUGCAUAUAAAACACAACAAAAGCUGAUAAAGUAAGUGAACACACAUUAACUUCUACUAUUGAAUCAUGCAGCCAUACACACAUAGUCUGAAGAGCUUCAGGUUUGCACAAAUAGAUUCAUUCUCAUAGUUAGAGUGUGAUUACACACCUAGAGGUGAUUCAAAGAAAGACCAAAUCAAGGUCACUAAAACAGUUGAACUUCCCAGAAGAAAGAGAGCAGCAUCAGACAGGAAACAACAACAACAAAAUCAUACCCAAGUUCAAUCCCCAAGUCCAACUUUUAAAACUCAGGGAUUUUAGUUAGAGAAAACCAGGAAAUAUGUUCUAUUUCUAGUCAUCUUUUCAGCUUGUAAGAAAACC